CUCAUCGCCUCCGAGAACUUCACCUCCUUCGCAGUCAUCGAGGCCCUCGGCAGCGCCCUCACCAACAAAUACUCCGAGGGCAUGCCCGGCAACCGCUACUACGGCGGCAACGAAUUCAUCGACCAGAUCGAAAACCUCUGCCGCUCACGCGCCCUCCAGGCCUUCCACCUCGACGCCCAAUCCUGGGGCGUCAAUGUGCAGCCCUACUCCGGCUCCCCUGCCAACUUCGCCGCCUACACCGCCGUCCUCAACCCCCACGACCGCAUCAUGGGGCUGGAUCUCCCCUCCGGCGGCCACCUCACCCACGGCUACUACACCUCCGGCGGCAAGAAGAUCUCCGCCACCUCCAUUUACUUCGAGAGCCUCCCUUACAAAGUAAACUCCACCACCGGCUACAUCGACUACGACCGCUUGGAGGAAAAAGCCCUAGACUUCAGGCCCAAAUUGAUAAUCUGCGGUGGCAGCGCUUACCCUCGCGAUUGGGACUACAAACGCUUCAGGGAAAUUGCGGAUAAGUGCGGGGCAUUGCUUCUCUGCGACAUGGCGCACACUAGCGGCCUUGUGGCCGCGCAGGAAGUGAACAGCCCCUUCGAGUAUUGCGACAUUGUGACCACCACCACGCAUAAGAGCUUGCGGGGUCCACGGGCGGGGAUGAUCUUUUACCGGAAGGGCCCGAAGCCGCCGAAGAAGGGGCAGCCGGAGAACGCGGUUUAUGAUUUCGAGGACAAGAUCAACUUUGCGGUGUUCCCUUCGCUGCAGGGUGGGCCCCACAACCACCAGAUCGGGGCUCUUGCCGUGGCGCUGAAGCAGGCCGCGUCGCCCGGGUUUAAGGCCUACGCCAAGCAGGUUAAGGCCAACGCCGUUGCGCUUGGGAAUUACUUGAUGGGGAAAGGGUACAGUCUUGUCACUGGAGGCACGGAGAACCAUCUUGUCUUGUGGGAUCUCAGACCUCUUGGAUUGACUGGUAAUAUAUAUAUAGGAUUGGAUCGCUGCUUUUUUAUUUCUAUUUGUUGCCAAUGUAUCUGAAUCUGACUCGUUUCUUGUGUUUAUUGCUUUGCAGGGAAUAAGGUGGAGAAACUCUGUGAUCUCUGCAACAUUACUGUUAAUAAGAACGCAGUUUUUGGUGAUAGCAGUGCCUUGGCCCCCGGUGGAGUGCGAAUUGGUAACCAACUUAUUUCUCUUUUAUGUGCUAGAAUACAGAUCUUGCUUUACUAACUCAAUUCAAAACAAGAUCUCAUUUUUAAGAUCAAAUAAUGAUUUCCUAAGUCUAGGACUAUAUCCUUAAUUUUAUUUUUUUUAUCACAGAACUUAGAUGAAGUUUCUUACCAAAUUUUGUACUGUUCUCUUAUCAGAAUUGGAAUGUAAGUAAUAAAGUUUCUAUUAAAGGCUAGCAUAUUCCACCUUCUGUCCAGGGUUGAGCCCUGGGAUAUAUUGAAGUAAAAUUUUAAUUUUGAUUGGAGAACAAAAUGCUUAAAACACCAAAGUGAUUGCAUCUAAGUUUUGUGGAUUUUUUAAUGCAUUUGUACAAGGUAUCUUGGUAAGUUGUAGAUUAGUAUUGGAAGAAAUUUCAUUGAGGAUGUUUUUUUUACUUUCUAGUGCUUUAACAAUGGUGUAUUAGAUCGGGCUAAGCUUGCAGACUGCCAUUAUUAAUGAGUUUCGAGUUGUUUGAUUGUGCAAUAUGAUUGCCAAAUCAAUUACUAUAAACUAAUUGGUCAUUUUGUUAUUUGUUUUUAAUAUUUAUUCCUAAAAAUGAAUUAUUUUGAUGUAUUAAUUACAAAAAUGCUUUUUUUUAUUGCCCCUGUUUCUGUAUUUUUCUCUGAUGUUAGUUAAAUGUGUGACUGUGACUUUGUUUAUCAUGGGUGAAUGCCUGAUUGGAGUUUGUGUGAACAGGGGCCCCUGCCAUGACUUCUAGGGGUUUGGUUGAAAAGGACUUUGAGCAGAUUGGUGAGUUCCUUCACCGUGCUGUGACUCUCACACUGGAGAUCCAGAAGGAGCAUGGCAAACUUCUCAAGGAUUUCAACAAGGGCCUCGUCAACAACAAGGCCAUUGAAGAUCUCAAAGCUGAUGUUGAGAAGUUCUCUGCCACAUUUGACAUGCCUGGCUUCCUGGUAUCUGAAAUGAAGUACAAGGAUUAGGUUCAAUCAUAACGCUCUCUACUUAAUUGUGUCACUCAAAGUUCGGCACAAAGGGCAGAAAUGGAGAAAAAGGAAAUAAGUGUCUUCCAUUCUGGGAGGGGUAGGGUUUAUCGUGAUGGUGUUUCAAUUCAAAAGUUUGAAAUUUCUUUGUCUUUGAUUUCAUGUUUUUGUUACCCUGAUUGAUCAUAUUUUUUUCAUAUUAACAAUUGAAAUAAUACAUGUGCUUUCUUUCUUUUCCUCACAAGCUAGUAGUAGUAUGUUUCAUGAUUUCAUCUUCAAAAUAUUGCUCAACAGAACAUCUUAAUUCUUAACAACCACGAGUUUUAGUUGAUUUAAGCAAAAAAAAAAAAAAAAAUAAAAUUAUCCAAAUAAAUCUAUCGUCUUUCUUAUGCCUCAAUGUCCAAUGCCUCUCCCCCCCUAUUUGAAAACCAAAAUGCUCCAUGUCUAAUUGUGAUAAACUGAUAAUACCCCUCUGGCAGAUUAUGAGGUUAACGUAAUCCUGUAACCUAUUGUAGAUAAUGAAAUUUUCUUUGAGGAUUGAUGUUUAUUUGACUUUUGUAACUUUAACUCAAAUUCUUAUUGUGGUGUUUUCAUUGUCUAAUUACUGAAUUGAUUCUCGGUGCAUCACUUCAACGUCUUCUCGGUGUAGUAAGUUCCUCACGCUCCUCUUGGAAAGAGAUUAUGCAUCAAGAGUUAAUCGGUAGAAGCAAAAAAAUAACAAGACGUUCAUUAAUAAUUAUACAGCGUGACUUUUCAACUUACUUCCAACAUCUUUUUGACAAUUUUCCCAAUCCCAUAUCUGCUGCCUCUAGUUUCUUAUUUUUGCUCAUGUACUCAAUGCCAAUGGAUUAUUAAAUGGAUCCAAUGUAAGAAAGCCUGCUUAAAGCCAUUAAAAUGUACAUAGGAAUGAAGUGAGCAGCUAUUGCUUUGUGGUUGUUGAACUAAUUUAAUUGAUGCAAUCUGAAUCAGCCACUAAAGGGCUCGUUUCUCCCCUCAUUAGAGGCGUGGGAUUUUUUUGCUCACUCAGCGUCCUAAAACACACAUCUUAUCUCUAAUGAUUUCUAUCAUUGCAAGAAUUACAAUUAAAAACUAAAAUAUCAUUUAAGGAACCAAAAAGUUCUGGGAAGAAAAAAGGGAGGAUCAGUCCAGUAAAUAUAAUCAAUUAGAUUGAAUUGAACUUCUACAGACCCAGAAGGCACUCGAUGCAUUUUCACCGUAGGUGGGUUGUCUUUCUGUACUAUACUGCUCGCUUAGCAAAAUAAUCAGGUUAAGAAAGCUUGCUAUUUUUUUAUCUUGUUGAGGGGGUUUGUUGUCAUUGAAAACACAUUGUACUCAGGAAUUUGACUCAACAUGUUCAACCCACAAAUUAUCACAUUUAAACAAAUCUAAAUCAAUCGCAGAUCAUAUAUUCAACAUUUUACAUAUUAAAUAUUUCAUAUCAUAGUUCCUCACUUCGUUACUACAAAGUCAAAACUUUAUGUGUGCAAUAUUCUCAACACAAAUUGAACUAAGAACCAAUAUUCUUACAUCAUAGACUACAACAUGAGGUUUUAACAUGCCAUGUAAGAAACUUAAUGCCAACAAGUAAGGCUUGAAAUAUGAUUAGAAUAAGAAACUUCCCAGAUUUUAUAUCUAGGAGGAGAAUGAACGUGUUAGGUUUUAUUUCUCCUUGGAAUCAUAGUAAAAGUACACCCAAAGAAAGCCACUUGCUGGUUUCUUUGUUAUCAAUCAAUGUCAGAGAUAACUCUCAAAGAAGCCCUAGUUUGGAAGAUAUAUCAUACAAUUUAGAAUAGGCUACCAAUCAAUUAGAAAUGAAAAUGAGCUAAAUUGCAUCAAUUACUUCAAUUUCUAGUUAAGAGGGCCUUCACAACUAUUGGACUCGUGACGUAAUGCUUGCCAUCUGACCAUAUCAGUUUUCCAAAUACGUAGUUAUUUGUGGCCUUUCCUUGCAUGGCCUUGAAGGUUACUUUAAAGCUCUUCUCUUCACCAACAUUUUUGAACUUCAAGAUGCUUGGCUUCACAGAAAUGGUGAUUCCAUGCGGGUUUUGAACAUGAGCAAUGUACGUCCCUGGAGAGCCAACAUUUUUCAAUCUCCUUGUAACUGUCACUGACCCAGAGAGUUUUGGGACUGUGAUUGAGGGAUAGUUCAGGUUGAGGAGACUAAAUUUCUUGCGGCAUUGAUAUGGACCUUCUGUGAACACUGAGAUCUGUGUCGCAUUGUAACCUAAAGCACAUAAGAAGUUGAGGUAAUCAUCAAUUGUUGUGUCAUAAACUAGCCCGGGAUCCAUUGCUCUGUUUGGUUGAACAUGUCCUGCCCCGUAACUGAAUGGUGUUGCCUUGCCAUCAGUAGCAUUCAGUAGUGGCUCCACCUCAUUGUCUAGUGUUGUAGCUGAAAGUAGCAGAGGACAAAUCAUCAACUUUUGAUAGCUACUUUAACCUCACUAAUCAAAGUUGCUUUCUAUAUAUGUAUGGAUAACAACUUAGAUACAGUUCCUUAGAUACUAUUGGUGUCGUUCUCCAAUUAGAAUUGGAGUUUCAUCUCCCCUCAUAAUCUUACAUAUAGUUUCUUAGGUACUGUAAUCGCUGUUUUCUAAUUAGAAUUAGAGUUUCACCUUGCACAAUCUUUUAAUGAAAACCUUUAUUAACACUAGCAGAAUUUAAGAAACUAUAUCUAAGUUACUUUCUAUAUGUAUAUAUCUAAGCUACUUUCUAUAUGUAUAUAUCUAAGCUUUAUAUUUCUGGGACAUUUUAUUGUAGAUUGGCUUAAAAUAAAAAGGAUUUGAAGCGUGAGAAACUUGAAGAGCAUCUCACUCACCCGUGGUCAUGAUUGCUGAUUUAAUAGCAGCAGGACUCCACGUAGGAUAUAAGGCUCUCAACAGUCCCACAAUGCCUGAAACGUGAGGGCAUGACAUUGAUGUGCCUGAAACUGAGUUAAAUGGAAUCCUGCGUUUGUCGAACACUUGAUUGGUUGGUCCUUGGGCUUCAGUAUAGGCCGCUAUAACUGACACCCCUGGUGCAGUGAUAUCAGGCUGAAUAUAUUGGACAAAUUAAGAUUGUUAGAUAUCUAACACAUUACAACAAGUUUCAAGCCAAAUUACACUUAGUGAGUAAUGUCACCUUUAGGAUCUCGGGCACGAUAGUAUUUGGUCCUUUUGAUGAAAAGGCUGCCAUAAACGGGGCUGGCUUAGUAUCCAACUGAGUCUUUGGAUGUGUAAUAUAUGCCACUGGGAACCUAGCAAUAUAUAAAUUUCAAGUAGUCAAGUUGAAAAACUGAAAUUGAUGAUUAUCCUUUCGGGAUCUUUAUAUAGCUCAAAAGAUAACAAUCACAAAAAACUAGAAUUGCUUCCUCUACUUAUUUGACCAUAAAUUGUAAGUAUAAUAACAAUAGUAUAGUGCAAACCCCAAAGUAGGCAUAACUUAAGGCAUAGCAUGAAUUGGUAUUAAUAAGUGGCCGACUAGACUGGUAAAUAUCUUACUUGGUUGAGUUGAUGUAAGUAAAGACAGCACUGCCAUCAGUAAAAUUGAUAUGAGAAGCAGGAAGGACAUGAGGAUCAGCUAUAAUUUCAUUCCCAGUAGUCUUGUCAUUAGCAAGGACCAUUCCCACAGCACCAGCAAGAAAAGCUUGCUCUCCCUUGUCCACUCUUGCAUUUAUUCCUCGGAGACACACCACGAUCUUUCCCUUCACCUUGUUGGGAUCCAGGGUCCCAUUCUGGCACAGCACCCUGCAUGCACAUAAAUCUUUUAUUUACCGAAUCCAGUACUAUGUUAAUUAUGCCAAAUGAUCAUUCAACAACUGAUGACUAUAACGAAUUUUCAAUUUAUUUCUUUUUUAUACUUACGCAUCUUCAGCUCUUGCACUCGCCAAUUUAGCAUCUGUAGCUUUAAUAAUUGGGUAGAACUUGGGUGCCAAUAUCGUAGCUGAUAGGCUUUCGCCCUUCAAAUCAAGCAAUGUACAAGAAUAUUGAGUCAGCUGAUAAUGUUUAUAUAUUAAAAGUAACUCCUAGAUCAAAGUAGUUUUUCCAUCAUUUUUUGCACUAAUAAUAUUAAUUUUGACUGACAUGACAAGUGUCCAUUUUAUUUUACGUGAAAUCUCUUACAAUGCCACAUAUCACCAAAUUAUCUUGAUAUGAUAAAGUGAGAUAAGGGCUAACUUAGUCUGUUAUAAACAUUUAAGGGACUAUAGAACUACAUUGUAAAAAAUAAAAAUUACACUCAAGGUGGAUAAAGUUAAACUCUUCCAAAAUUUCCAUUAAAAAAAAAAAAAAAAGAGUGUGGGAAAGAGACAAACCUUGAAGGUGAUAUUGUUACCAAGGAAAACGUAAGUGGGGAACUGUCGAUCCAUGGUGCUGGCAGCAACCGUAACAUGCCAGGGUGCAAGAUUUUCCGCAGUGGCAUCCGCAGGCCCACUGUUGCCAGCGGAGCAAACCACCACAAUGCCAUGUUUGGCGGCAUGGAAGGAUCCGAUGGCAACACUAUCCUUGAAAAACGUGGAGGCCGAGCCACCGAGCGAGAGGGAGAGGACAUCGACGCCGUCGUGGAUGGCGAGGUCGAAGGCUGCCAAGAUAUCGGCGUCGAAGCACUCGUCGCCGGCGACGGGGGGCCAGCAGACCUUGUAGGCUGCCACACGUGCCAUUGGUGAGCCACCCUUGGCUGUGCCGUGGCCCUGGCCGAAGACGCUGACACGUGCGACCAUGUUCCCGCCAGCUGUGGAUAGGGUGUGGGUCCCGUGGCCCUCGUUGUCACGUGGCGAGUCAAAGGAGGAGUUAAGGGGGCCCGCCACUGAGGCGUAGCCCUUGUUGAAGUACCUUGCCCCUAUUAGCUUCCUGCAUUAUUUAGCGUGAGUGGGCCCCAUAUUUGCUUCACUAAAUUGGAGCAAAGAUUGUUGUAUUAUAUGGAAAAUGCUGACCUUCAGAGUGUGUAUGGGUGGAAGGAACAUAGACUAAGGAGAAAAAUAAAAAACAACAAUAGUGUGUACAAAUUUGAAGUUAAUGUCAUAUGUCUUUCAUCAGGAGUAGCCCUCAAUAAUUGGUUGGAUAAAUAAGAAAAAUGCUAAAUUCAACCAAUGAUUGUUGUACUUCAUGGUUACAAAAGGAUUAGUAACAUAUUCUCUAAGAUAACUUUUUCUUUUACUUCCUUUAAUCUUGAAUAUAAGAAGGAGAAUAAUUUAUUUUAAUAAAAAAAUUAGUUAGAAUCAUUUAAUUAUAUAAAUUUUAUUUAAAAUAUUCUUUUUCUAAAUCAUCCUCCCUUAGAACUUAAUAUAAAAAAUCACUGAAAAUAAAACUCAAUUAAACAAAUAAUAUUUUCAUAAUGUUCUUAUUAAAUAAAACAAAAUUAAUUGAGAUUUAUUUAUAUUUGAUAUUGACACACAAUGAUUUUUUUUUUACUUAUAUUCAAUAUGAUAUUAGUUAACAUUUAUUAAAAAUUAUAAAAUUGCUGAAUGAAAGGCAAGAAACAGAAUAAUUAAUGAUUUUUAAUAAAUUUUAACUAAUAAUAAAUAAUGUAUUUAAAAUAUUUUAUUAUUAAUAUUUUUCAAAAUAGUCUUCUUCUCUAACAAGGCCAUAUCCUUUUACUUGACACGGAGAGAGGAAUUCAAAUUAAGAGUUUUUAAAAAAAUUCUUAGAUAUAAAAUGACAAUAAUAUAAUGACCAGGUUUACAUUCAAUCUAUCAAUCUCCAUAAAUUUCCAAUGUUGGUUCGUUUGAUUUUUUUAAAAGUCUUUAUAAUUAAAAAAAAAAACUUUUAGCAUUGAAUAAUAAUUAAAUAAUUUUAAAAUAAAAUAAUAGUUUGAUGAAAAAAACUAUAUUUUCUUAAAAAAAAAUCAUUAUUUCUUUAAUUUAUAACAAAAUCAUGUAGUCAACAUUGAAAGAUUGAGCCACGGGACGCGAGCGAAAUCAUCCCCUAGUUGGCGGUGAGAAAUUGCUGCCCUUAUUUGUAAUCUCAUUAAUUCAUUGGUGUGAAAACAGUAGAAUAAAACAAUAAGAUAACGAAAAAACACAUGUUUGAAUUCUGAAACUUUGCUGCUUUCAAAGGAAUGUACUUGAGUGUUUAAUCCUUUCAUUGUAGUAGUCAACUAAUAAAGAGUGCCAAUUCAAAGAAGGGUAUAUAUAUGUGCCCUUAGGCACAGGGCUGCAGAAGUUAAACAAUUAGGUAAGAAACAUUUAUGAUGCAUUACAGAUGACUAAGAAAAUAUUAAAAGCAAAUACAAAUAAGUGGUUUUGAGACACAGAUUAAAAAGUUUAAAAGAAAAAUAUUUUUAAUGAGACGUGGAAAAUUAUGUUACUUAUGAUUUGUUUUAACUUCUAUAAUAUUCUCAAUAAUCAAUAUUUUUUUUAAUACUUUCAUUUGAUUUUUAUUUAGUUUUAUCAAUAUCCCAACAGAGUCUAAGGAAGAUGGUACCUGUUGCAGUGAAAAGUAUGAUCAAUUCCGUUAUGACAGAUUCCUCUCCACUUUGAUGGAAUUGGUCCCAAGCCUUCCUCACUAAAGCUCUUUGAUUCAGGCCAAACACCUAGCAGUAAUGCGGUGGGAGCAAAAGAGAGAAAAGUGUGGUCAAAAUAAGAUAAGCAUAUUGUAAAACGGAGAUUCUACUUCUACCCCUUCUCCCUCACUCUCAUCCAAAUCUAGCAUGAUCAUGGUCCUGUUUUUAGUUUUCAUUGCCCCCACCCACUUUUCACGCCUACAGUUUGGGGAGCAUUUUGAAAAUGAAGCUGAUGUAUGCACUCAUCAAUUUUCUUAUUGGUGAGCUUAUCAUGACUUCCUUGGACUAUCCCCACCUUGGCACCAUUGUUAGCCCCCACCUCACAGAAUAAGCCCACCCUUUUUUAUUUGUUUAUUUAUUUUAGUCCUAUCGUUAUGAACAGAAGUCAUAACAUAUACUUUUGUCCCAAUCUAAGUAUGAUUUAUGACCAACCUUCUGCAUCACAAAAUAAACACAGACUGAAUUUUAUAACAUAUAUUUAUAACUUUUUAAUUAUUUAAAAUAAUGAACAUCUAAUGGAGUAGUAUAAACCCACUAUUGUAACAAAAUUCUAAUUAUAAUUCUAAUAUAUACAACAGACAAAUGACAAGAUGCCUGAUUGUCCAUGUUGCCUUUCUAAAGGUGGUCCGUUUGUGAUAAAUCGACUGAAAGUCGACUACUCCAUCAUUUAUCACCAAACAUUUUCUAUACAGUGUAAUCUAACCACAAAAAGUUUUGCAAUUUCUUUAGAAAUAAUUGCUUUCAUCUUAUUUCAUUUUAGUAUUAACUUUUUUUUGGAUGAUUCAGGAUAUUACUGGAUCGAAAGUUAAUCUCUUAAAAUACUGAAAUCGAUUUACGAAAUUGACUUUUUCUAACAUAUAUUUUUUAACAUAUAUUUAAGGGAUAAAGUUAUGUUCUAACCAUAUUAUAUCAUGUUUGUCCAUUUCAUUUUGGUGUUAAUUAUGCUUUAUGAGUAUAAUUACUGUAUAAAAAUAAUGUAAGUGUAGUUAUAGCUAAUCACACGAGAUUAAUGCAAUUAGUCUAUUUCUUCAAGAUGGUUCGUGAACAUUCAUACUUAGGGUGUGGAAAAGAACUAGUCUAACAACCCAUUGCCGGCAAGAUUCAAAUUAAUAAUAAACUAAUGUUAUGAAAUCAACUUUUUUGAAAUGAUCAAACUCUGGAUUGGUGGUGGGGGAUAGAGAUACGAUGAGAUAACUACUUUGAGUAUGUUCCACAUGUAUAAGUCAACGAUCUAGAUUAAACCAUAAUAAUAAUAAUCAAACCCCGUUAAUUCAAAGGUGUUGCUGACCAAUUUGAAAAGAAUAGCAAGAGUUUUAAAACACAUAAAUCAGGAAAACUAACCUGUAUCCAGGUUUCCAAUGAUGACACCCUCACCAAAUCUGGCUUUCUUCCAGAUUGAGUUGGAUUGGAUCACCCCAUUAUGCUCUAGCCCCAUGAAAUCCCAUGAUCGAGUGGUGUGUAGCUUUCUCCCACGGUUCUCGAACACUGACAACACUUUGGGGUGCUCUAGAAGCAGUAUGGACAAAAGGGUAUAAGUACACAAUGAGAAAAAGGAAGCACAGAGGAGAGAAAACAGAGGAACUAAGCAGAGGAUAAGGUUCUUGGUUCUUACUUGAUAUCUCAGCAGCUACUUCUUCUUCCAAAAUUGCAGCAAAACCAUUGAUGUGCCUUGUGUAUGAGUAAAAGAUGGAGUCCUUGGUUGUAUUAGAACUACAAAAAAGAAGCAAACUCAAACAAUUUCAAUAGGUAAUAAAUUGUACCAUAUGUGAGUUAAGAUGUUAUAAUUGCAUUUUUUUUUAUCUUACCUUCCUAAGAAAGAUCCCAGAAACUCAUGGUGGGACUGUGUAACUUGAUUGAAGUCAACUGAGGAUAAUUCUGGCUUGUGUGAGUGGGCUCCCAAGUACACCACAUAUGACUACAAUUAAAAUGGUGCAGUGCAAGGAUUAGAUCUUUUUCCAGUUUUAUUUAUCUUUUUCAAGAUUGCAAAUUGCAAUGCCUCACCUUUUUCAAUGCAAAGCUGGGUCUGUGCAGUAGAAAGACAAGAAGAAUUUGAAGGAGAAAGUGGAUGGAAGAACUUGGUGGCCUCAUUGCUUUGCCUCUCUAGGAAGUCCUCCUUUGCUUUUGCCUUGUUUUGAAUGUAACAGAAACACAACCUGUUUGGUUUUAUAGGGUAAUAGCAGUCCUUGUAAAACAUAGUGAUAGUGAUUGCACCCUUGCUCCUUAGGUUGAAAUUAUAUUUAAUGUACUUUGUUUGCCAUAUCAGAUUCAGUUCACUAAGUGGUUUUAAUACCUUUUUUAAUUUGUACUCUACUAAUAGAGUUUAUAAUAUUAUAUUCUUAGACUUAAAAAUAUUAUACACAAUCACACUCUCAUUAAAGUGUUUAAAAUAGAGAUACUGCAUUACCAUUAUAUUUAAAUAAUAAAAAUAUACAUUAGUUAUAAUUUCAUUGGAUUAAAUAAAGAGAGCCAUCAAAACUUUCUCAAACUAAGCACAUACAAGAAAUCACCAACGAGACAGCUAAUAAUUACCAAAUAUAAUAUUAACAAGGUGGCUUUAUAUAAACUCUGGUUGGACCCCAUACAGAAAUACAGAAAUACAGAAAUAUCACUUUUGGACUACUGCGGGUUUGAGAAAAAUAACAAAUGCAGUGUUUAUUCCGAGGGAGUGUGUAGCAAGCUAAUUAAUUGAGGCGAGGAUUGAGGAAAUAGGUAUUUGGCAAAAAAUUGACAAGUUAGCUUUAAGUAUAAAAAUGUAAUUUCUAUCCAAGAAAAAAAUUGUAAUGGAAAGUUACUAACCAAAAGGUAUUUAGUUAAUUGAAGUGGAAAUAUUAAUAAAAUUAGUUAUAAAAAUUAGCUGUAAAAUAAAAUAAAAGAGCAUGUUCAUGUGAUUUUUUUUAUUUUUAAAAAAUAUAUUUUAGUUAGCUAUUGUCUUAACUUUUCUGUUGAUUUUGAACUUUUAUAAUUUUUAAGAUCAAAUAUUUUAUUAAAAAAAUAAAGUGAUAGUAUAAGUAAUUUAAUGAUUAAAAUAAAUAGUGUAAUAUUAAUAAAAAGUUGUUAAAAUAUUUAGGAUAAUAAUAAUAAUCUAUAAAUCAUUAACUCAACCGUUAUUUGAAGUAGUGUUUGAAAAAAAUGCCGAGUUAAUAAUAAAUUAUAGUAAAUAUUUUAUAUCAGUUCAAAAUAUAUAUUUUUUAGAAUGAUAGUGCAAGUUUAUUGAACUCUAUAAAUAAACUCUGGUAGGACCCCGUAAAGAAAUUUCAUUUUUGGACUAUUGCGGGUCUGUGAAAAAUAACAAAUGCAGUGUUUAUUUAUUACACUUAACUGUGACAAUAAUACAAGCAAGCUAAUUAAUCAGGGUGAGGAAUGAGGGAAUAAGUAUUUUAUAUGGCUGUGUGUUUUUAAAUAUAGGUUAUAUUCGGCAAAAAUAAUUGACAAGUUACCUUUAGGUUAGAAAUUUAUUUUUUAAUUGCAAGUUAUUAAAUAAAAGUUAUUAAUUGAAGUAGAAAUGUUUGGCGAAAUCAAUUGUUGAAUUAGUUAAUAAAUGUGAAUUAAAAUAAAUAAAAUGUUUAUGUGAUUUUUAUUCACAUUUUAUUAUAUAAUUAAUUAUAGUUUUAAUUUUUUUAGUUAAUUUUUAAUAUCAAAUAUUUUAUUAAAAAUAAAAAGUAAUGUAAUGAUUAAAAUAGUGUAGUAUUAUAUUAAUAUUAAUCUAUAAAUUAUAUACUCAGAUGUUAUUUCAAAUAAAACACUUCAAAUUAUAAUUUCAAAUAACUUAUCUAACACACUUAUAUGAUUACACUUUUAGAAAUGACAUUAUCGGAAAAAUGGAACCUUUAGGACUACUAUGAAUUUAUCGUUAAAUUUAAAAAUAGGUUCGACUGGAAUUUAAUAUUUUUAAAGUUUUAAUUAUAAAAGAAGUGAAAAUAGAAAUAGAAGUUAAAAAUUGGAUCAUGAGAUUAUUUUUAUUUUUAUAUAAAAUUCAUAUAUUUUUGUCCUUUCCUCCGAGCUAAAUAGAAAAAUGUAUUAUUUUACUGUAAUUCAUCAAUGCUUAGAAAUAAGUUUUUCAAACUUAUGCCAAAGAUAAAAAUAGCAUAUUGAUGAAUAAUUAUACAAAUUUAGCACUAGAUUACUAGUAUGUUUUAAUUGGAAAGGGAGAGAGAGAAGUUACCCUUAAUAAUGACAUUGGGUUGGGACGUCAAGGUUAACAUCAAUUACUCUUCUGAAAUGGGCCCGUGUAAUUAUUGGGAGUGUGGCAGUUUAAUGUGAUUAUCAAUUUUAACCAACAACCAAUUAAGACAAAUGAAAGCAUUAUUGAAAGAAGACAAUAAGUAUAUUCCAUCGCAAUCAAAAUAGCAUAUGGUAUACUGUUGCCGCCCAUGCUUCCAAAACCUCCUGCGGACAGAUUCCAAUAAUCUAUUUUCAUUUACCUCUUUUAACUUUUCAGAUAUCUUUUAUGUUUAUUAAUAAUCUAUUUUGUUUCUUUAAAAAGUUCAUUUUUUUUAAUUUCAGUAUUAGUAAUUUGUGCUUUUUUAAUUUUGUAUACAGCACCAGAUUUUAUUUCUUUCAAUAAAUGUUCACUAUCUAGCUAGCAUGAAGUAUCUGCGCAUCAUUUUCCUUUGGGGUUUGGGUCUGGGAUAUAAAGGUGGAUGCUGCAUAUAUGGGUCGAACCUUUUGGAUCUUACCAGGAAGGAGGGAUAUUUUCGUGUUUGUUUGCCCAUAAGAAAGGCUUGGAAGGUGCAGAAGUUCCUAUGAAGUCAGAUCCUAGUUCAUUAUUAUUGACUUUGGGUUGUACUCAUAUCUUUGUAGCUUUGAGAAAUUUUAAUUUUAAGAUUGUAUGUUCCUGAUUCAUAAUCCGUACCCAUUAUGAAAAUAGAAUUUGAAUUUAUUUUUAAAUCAAAAUUUAUGUUUGAAACUUAAAAGGAUAAAACUAUAUUAACUUCAUAAUUUAUCAGUAACAAUAACAGAACUCAAAAUAAAAAUAAGAGAACAGCAGUAGGACAUAGACUGCAAGUAAAUGAACAUGGAAUGACCAACUUUUGCUGUAAUGAAGAGCAAUGGUAGUGUAUCAAUGGAGAAGAUGAUGGGUGUUGUAAUGAAGAGCACUGAUAGUGUAUCAAUGGAGAAGAUGAUGGGUGCUGUAAUGAAAAGCACUGGUAGUGUACCAAUGGAGAAGAUGAUGGGUGGGUCUUUACCAUAGUUUUAAAACGAGUGAAAUCUGAUAGAUUAACCAAUUUCGCUUAAAACUUAAAAAAAAAACUUUCAGAACAACAUGGUUUUGAUUUUGAAUUUUUUUAUAACUUAUGAUCCUUUUAAGUAAUAUUUACUUUUAUUAUUAUUAAUUUAUACAUAUUAUAUUAUUUUUUUCCCAUAUCACUAGAAUAUUAUAUUAAAAUAUUUAAAAAUAUAUAUUUUAUUUAAAUCGAUUCUCAUUUAACUGCAGUUAAAUCAUUGACUCUGAACAAAUAUUUUCACUGGUUGGAUGAUGAGUCGGUUCUAGAGAACUGGCAGAUGGUGUGACCCAGUUCUCUGUCUUUUGUUGCAUUGUCGAGCUGUUUCUUCUCUAAUUUUAUAGGCUUAGCCUAGACUUAACCUUGGAUCUUUUUCUUUUUGUAAGCACGGGGCUUUCAUCCCUAUUACGCAAAAAUACAAGUUCAGUCUAAGUGAGUACUGAUAUAUUUGGUAGAAAAAAUUUGUUAAUCCAUUAUACUUAAUAUUUAGCAAGCAUUUUAAUUUGUUUGUUGCUUAGGGUAAGUGUUUAUUUUCAAUCUAUUAUAUAAUUAAAAUUUAUAAUAAAUAAAUAUCUUGAAGUAUAUAAAUUAUAUUUUAGAUUUGUAAUAAAUAACCAUUGGCAAAUUUGUUAAAAACAAACUAUUGAAAUUUAAUCAAGACAUAAAGAUAAAAUAUGUUUGAUUAUACUAUUAUAAAAAAAAUUAACAACAAUUUUAAAAGGGCUUCAAUGAUGAUUUUCAAACAAUGUUAAAACAACCGCCUUUGAAAGUCAAAGGCUUUUGAUGGUUGUUUUUUAAAAUUAUUAUAAAAAUCGUAUCAGAAAUGUCUCACUUCAACAUUUUCAAAGAUGAUUUUGAAAAAAAUCAAUGUAAAAUGUUACUUUUCACAUGAUUUUGUCUAAAACUGAGGUAGAAAAUGCGCUUUAGAAAAUAGUUUUGUAGAAAAUUGUUGUGGAUAUAAAUACCUACAUGGAUUUUUUUGGCAACCAAUGUAGUUGGUGUAACUUUUUUUUUAUAAUAUUGGUUUUGUUUUGACAACAAAUUCAAUUUGUAAUUUCAAACGGAACCAAACUCAAAAAUUUGUAACAAACAUAUAUAAUUAUAUUUAAAUUAUUAUCGAUAAAAAACAAUAAAUUCAGAAAUACAAAAUAAAAUGAUACCAGAUUAUCAA
rnacentral:lncRNA from 1 species